CCAGACUCCUACGGGAGGCAGCAGUGGGGAAUAUUGCACAAUGGGGGAAACCCUGAUGCAGCAACGCCGCGUGAGUGAAGAAGUAUUUCGGUAUGUAAAGCUCUAUCAGCGGGGAAGAGAAUGACGGUACCUGACUAAGAAGCCCCGGCUAACUACGUGCCAGCAGCCGCGGUAAUACGUAGGGGACAAGCGUUAUCCGGAUUUACUGGGUGUAAAGGGAGCGUAGACGGCAGUGCAAGUCUGAAGUGAAAGGCGGGGGCCCAACCCCCGAACUGCUUUGGAAACUGUGCUGCUGGAGUGCAGGAGAGGCAAGUGGAAUUCCUAGUGUAGCGGUGAAAUGCGUAGAUAUUAGGAGGAACACCAGUGGCGAAGGCGGCUUGCUGGACUGUAACUGACGUUGAGGCUCGAAAGCGUGGGGAGCAAACAGGAUUAGAUACCCCAGUAAAC
rnacentral:rRNA from 1 species